rnacentral:lncRNA from 1 species
AAUUUCAAUAGAUGUUUAAGCUUUUUUUAAAAAGUGGCAGGACUUUGUGAGACGAAGGGGUCGUUGUUUUUAUUGAUGAUGAACUGAUGGCAUUGAUAAUGCAGGAUAUCACUCGACUGGUGAGACAUGUGAUCAAUGAGAAACACAGAAAGACGAUGAGAUCAAAAUGAAUAAACAGAAGAGAAACCGUCCUUGUUGGAUAAAAGAUUGUGCUAAUAUGUAGAAAAAUGUAUCCGUAAGCCAACGUUAACAGCAAGUUACAAGUUAAGAUGUAACAGCAAACUGACUCACAACGUAUUUUGUGUGUGUGUGCAUGCGUGUGGUAGUGAGAGAGACUGAGACUAUUGAUACACACACUUCCAGAAAGGAACUUUCGAUGGGGAAGUUGCACAACCCAGCCGACGUUGAGGCAGUGUGCUUAUUAUGGACUUAAUAUUAACACCAGACGCCGACUCCAAUCUAGUUGAUCUGAUAGCACAUACAACCUGGAUUCGAAAUACCCACCAGGGUUUUGCAAAUUAUUUUUAUUUAUUUCUGCGUUUGCACUAGCAGACUGUUCCGACUCCGUGUGACGGCCAGCCUGCGGUGGCCCAUAUUUUCAGUUCUGAACACAGGAUCUUUGUAGACCAAUGGGCCUUGUUUGGUGGCUGGGAGUUGGACUACUCCUCGUCUUCGCCCAGGCUUGGGCAUCAACUCCUGAAAAGCCAAAAUGUCUGCCUGGUUUCAAGAAGGAUUCUAACCUUUUCGAAGUAGACAGAAGACAUCUUCAUAGCGGACGUGUCCUUGGCAAAGUUGGUUUU